GCCAAGUGUCGGAAGGUCAAGGAAGUUGGUGACCUGAUGAUAGGGGAGCCGACGACCGAAGCCCCAGUGAACAGCGGUCGUAACUAUAACGGUCCUAAGGUAGCAAAAUUCUUUGUCGGGUAAUUCCUGACCCG
rnacentral:ncRNA from 1 species